CUUCUCCCGGGCGGGCGCGCGCUGCGGGGCGGCGGGCGGAGCGUGAGCUGCCAGCCCGGAGCCGGGAGCGGGGAGCCGGGAGCCGGGAGGCUCGGUCGGCGCCCUGCACGCAACCAUCCUCCGGGUUCCCAGCCCCGGGUGCUGAGCUCGCCGCUAUAAAUAGCAGGUUACAGCUUCUGCUUGGGCGCACUCGCUCUCACUGGAGAAGGCUGGAAAGUCAACCUGAAAAGUGUCUGCCGCUGCUAUCGCCCCCUACUCAGCCUCUGCAAGAGAACAAACUUUUUAAAAACCCUCACACUAGCAAAGUGUUUUCCAGAAGGCCUGCAUUUAUUUGCAUCACCACGGGAAGACCUGUCAUCAUUUCGCCAGCAGGGAAGAUACUAAAAGUGUGUUAAUUCAGAAGGUGAGGGUGAAUUUAAUGACAGAAGCGAAGCCUGACUGAGACCCUCUAGAAACUGUUCAUAACCCAAGUCUAGUGUUGGAGGGCAGUGGUCUCAUGAGUCAACCAUUGUUGUUGUUUUUAAUUCAGUGCUGGGAAUUGAACCAGGACAUCACAUGCAUUAUUCUUUCAUGAAGAUUUAUUCCUCAACCCUACCUCCCAUUUUAAAAGUUAGGAACUGUUCUUUGGAAGAUGUUAACUAACCUCGCCAAGAUCACACAACUGGGUAGUGGGUAUGACUAAAGUUGAUUCUCCUUUAAGAUCUAGACUUUAGAAUCUAGGAAGAUGACUCAUUGACCAAAAGGCUUGUUGAUCAAGCAUGAAUAACUGAGUUUGGAUCCCCAGCACCCGUGACAAAACUCUGGGGGGGGGGCAGGGUGUACGCCUGCAGCUGCAGCGUGCCGGGGAGGUGGGCAUAGAUAGGGCUAUGCCCUGGACAGUCAGCAG
rnacentral:lncRNA from 1 species